rnacentral:rRNA from 1 species
GACGAACGCUGGCGGUGUGCUUCACACAUGCAAGUCGAACGGGGUAGCAAUACCCAGUGGCGGACGGGUGAGUAACGCGUAGAAAUCUGCCUUGAGAUGGGGGAUAACAGUCCGAAAGGACUGCUAAUACCGCAUAUGUAUGUAUCUCGACAGAGGUGUAUAUGAAAGGAGUAAUCCGUCUUAAGAUGAGUCUGCGUCCGAUUAGCUAGUUGGUAGGGUAAAGGCCUACCAAGGCGACGAUCGGUAGCUGGUCUGAGAGGAUGAUCAGCCACAAUGGGACUGAGACACGGCCCACACUCCUACGGGAGGCAGCAGUGGGGAAUUUUGUGCAAUGGGGGAAACCCUGACACAGCGACACCGCGUGAGCGAAGAAGCCCUUUGGGGUGUAAAGCUCUGUCGGCUGGAACGAAAAAAUGACGGUACCAGCAAAGGAAGCAUCGGCUAACUACGUGCCAGCCGCCGCAGUAAC